CAAAAGAAAUAAUCCCAAAAAAUUGAGCAUGCAAUAACACUGUAUCAAAAUAUUAAUUGGUCGAUUUAUCAAGUUGAAUUUUGUAUCGGUGUAACAGGCCAGACUUUCCCCCUGGCCAAACCUUCCCCAGGGAAACUUAGGCCUAGAGACAAACUUUCCCCGAGGAAAUUUUGGUCUAGGACAAACAAACCCUAGGCUUAAUCUUACCUUGGGAAGGUUUGUCCUAGGCCAAGCUUUCCCCACCCCUGAAUCAACUUUAAAGGCUACUUCUUUUCCACCCUUGUUUUCAUAUCAAAUGGGCUUCA